rnacentral:lncRNA from 1 species
CACCUAGACCAUCGUCGUCUAGUUUCAAGAAUUAAUGCAGAGAACACAACAUAUCAUGCAUACUCCUUUGAUCUCUAAUCUUUUUAACUAGAGAAUAACCACGCACAAUAAUAUAUUCACAGAUCAUCUAAACAUAUGCAUUAAUUGUCACGCAACAGAUAACUGAAAGCGAUAUAUAUAAAUAAUAAUUGUACCACUUGAUGGAUAGAUCAUGUUUGUGCAUGGGUUACCGCUAGCUUGCAUGUUGUUACAGCGCAGUAGUCUACAUACAUGCAUGCUGCAAUCUACAAGUUGAAACAAAUUUAACAUGACCUUAAUUAGUUUACCUACUGUCCAAGUCCCCUGUUAUAUAACAUUAUUGGAACAUGCAUAUGCUCCUAAUAUAUAUUCCAUAUAGCCCAAAAGAUGAUCGAGUUAUCCUUCAGGGAGCAGAAACGAGCUAUAGGUCCCCGCCCAAAUAGAAUAGUUAAGUAAUUGUUGGGGCUGACUUAAAAAAAACUCCUAAAA